rnacentral:rRNA from 1 species
UACGUAGGGCGCAAGCGUUGUCCGGAUUCACUGGGUGUAAAGGGUGCGUAGGCGGGAAGGUAAGUCCGCGGUGAAAUCUCACGGCUCAACCGUGAAACUGCCGUUGAUACUGCUUUCUUGAGUUCGGGAGAGGUUGAUGGAAUUCCAGGUGUAGCGGUGAAAUGCGUAGAUAUCUGGAAGAACACCAGUGGCGAAGGCGGUCAACUGGCCCGUAACUGACGCUGAGGCACGAAAGCGUGGGGAGCGAACAGG